rnacentral:rRNA from 1 species
GACGAACGCUGGCGGCGUGCUUAACACAUGCAAGUCGAACGGUAAGGCUCCAGCUUGCUGGGGUACACGAGUGGCGAACGGGUGAGUAACACGUGGGUGACCUGCCCUGCACUUCGGGAUAAGCCUGGGAAACUGGGUCUAAUACCGGAUAGGACCGCACCGUGAGGGUGUGGUGGAAAGUUUUUUCGGUGUGGGAUGGGCCCGCGGCCUAUCAGCUUGUUGGUGGGGUAAUGGCCUACCAAGGCGGCGACGGGUAGCCGGCCUGAGAGGGUGGACGGCCACAUUGGGACUGGGACACGGCCCAGACUCCUACGGGAGGCAGCAGUGGGGAAUAUUGCACAAUGGGCGGAAGCCUGAUGCAGCGACGCCGCGUGGGGGAUGACGGCCUUCGGGUUGUAAACUCCUUUCACCAUCGACGAAGGGUUUCUGACGGUAGAUGGAGAAGAAGCACCGGCUAACUACGU